UACGGAGGGUGCGAGCGUUAUCCGGAAUUACUGGGUUUAAAGGGUGCGUAGGCGGCUAUGUAAGUCAGGAGUGAAAGUUUGCGGCUCAACCGUAAAAUUGCUUUUGAUACUGCAUGGCUGGAAUUAGGAUGAGGUCAGCGGAAUGUGGCAUGUAGCGGUGAAAUGCAUAGAUAUGCCAUAGAACACCAAUUGCGAAGGCAGCUGGCUAGACCUGGAUUGACGCUGAGGUGCGAAAGCGUGGGGAGCAAACAGG
rnacentral:rRNA from 2 species